AGCGAACGCUGGCGGCAGGCCUAACACAUGCAAGUCGAACGAACCUUUCGGGGUUAGUGGCGGACGGGUGAGUAACACGUGGGAACGUGCCUUUAGGUUCGGAAUAACUCAGGGAAACUUGUGCUAAUACCGAAUGUGCCCUUCGGGGGAAAGAUUAAUCGCCUUUAGAGCGGCCCGCGUCUGAUUAGCUAGUUGGUUGAGGUAAUGGCUCACCAAGGCGACGAUCAGUAGCUGGUCUGAGAGGAUGAUCAGCCACAUUGGGACUGAGACACGGCCCAAACUCCUACGGGAGGCAGCAGUGGGGAAUCUUUCGCAAUGGGCGAAAGCCUGACGCAGCCAUGCCGCGUGAAUGAUGAAGGUCUUAGGAUUGUAAAAUUCUUUCACCGGGGACGAUAAUGACGGUACCCGGAGAAGAAGCCCCGGCUAACUUCGUG
rnacentral:rRNA from 1 species